rnacentral:rRNA from 1 species
GUACACACCGCCCGUCACACCAUGGGAGUUGGCUUUACCCGAAGGCGUUUCGCUAACCGCAAGGAGGCAGGUGCCCAAGGUGUGAGCAAUGAUUGGGGUGAAGUCGUAACAAGGUAGCCGUAGGUGAACCUGCAGAAGGAUCA